rnacentral:rRNA from 1 species
UACGUAGGUGGCAAGCGUUAUCCGGAUUUAUUGGGUUUAAAGGGUGCGCAGGCGGCACGGCAAGCCGGCGGUCAAAUCGCGGGGCUCAACCCCGCCCAGCCGUCGGAACUGCCGGGCUAGAGUGGGCGAGAAGUGCGCGGAAUGCGUGGUGUAGCGGUGAAAUGCAUAGAUAUCACGCAGAACUCCGGUUGCGAAGGCAGCAUACCGGCGCCCUACUGACGCUGAGGCACGAAAGCGUGGGUAUCGAACAGG